AUUGAACGCUGGCGGCAGGCCUAACACAUGCAAGUCGAGCGAGCGGCGGACGGGUGAGUAAUGUAUGGGGACUGCCCGAUAGAGGGGGAUAACUACUGGAAACGGUAGCUAAUACCGCAUACUAUCGGAUAACCCAUAUGGGAUUAGCUAGUAGGUGAGGUAAUGGCUCACCUAGGCGACGAUCCCUAGCUGGUCUGAGAGGAUGAUCAGCCACGCUGGAACUUAGACGCGACCCUGACUCCUACGGGGGCAGCAGUGGGGAAUAUUGCACAAUAGACGCAAGCCUUAUGCAUCCAUGCCGCGUGUAUGAAGAGGGCCCUGGGGUUGUAAAGUACUUUCAGUCGGGAGGCGUUACCAACAGAAGAAGCACCGGCUAACUCCGUGCCAGCCGCCGCGGUAAUUC
rnacentral:rRNA from 1 species